ACUCAAAUGAAUUGACGGGGGCCCGCACAAGCGGUGGAACAUGUGGUUUAAUUCGACACUACGCGAGGAACCUUACCUAGGCUUGACAUGCAUAUGACCGUCGUGGAAACACGAUCUUCUAGGCUUCGGUCUAGACAUUUGCACAGGUGCUGCAUGGCUGUCGUCAGCUCGUGUCGUGAGAUGUUGGGUUAAGUCCUCUAACGAGCGCAACCCUUGUCGUCAGUUGCAACUGCGUAAGCAGGCACUCUGACGAGACUGCCUGGGAAACCAGGAGGAAGGUGGGGAUGACGUCAAGUCCUCAUGGCCCUUAUGCCUAGGGCGACACACAUGUUACAAUGGCUAAUACAAAGAGCUGCAAGCCUGUAAAGGUAAGCUAAUCUCAUAAAGUUAGUCUAAGUUCGGAUUGAGGUCUGCAACUCGACCUCAUGAAGUUGAAAUCGCUAGUAAUCGCGUAUCAGCAACGACGCGGUGAAUACGUUCUCGGGCCUUGUACACACCGCCCGU
rnacentral:rRNA from 1 species